CAUCCCGGCCAGGAGGGGGCGCCUGUCCUUCUCCAAAUGCUGCGUUCCGAUCAUCUUGCUCAGCCCUCGGUGGCCAGCAGGUGGCGACCAAACCUGCCCUUGCGGCCUCUUGCCAAGCGCAGGCAGGCGCAGCAGCCCUGCGUUCUUCCCUGCGACCGAAGGCUGUGUUUUUCUCCGGACGGACUGAGGACGUGCCUGUGGGGCUUUGGGACACGGGCCUGGUGGGGCCCCUUGUUCAGAAGAGAAGACCGCCAUCUGAGCCCGAGUUGGAGGAAUGCCUGUUUUCAUUGGCUGCAUCCAGAGUGUCUGCUUGGGGCGUUCCCGCUGAGGCGCUGGUAUCUGCCAGGCGGAGCAGGGCACGGAACUGUCCCCUUCUUCACGGGUGCAGAAGAGCUUUCCUAACACCCGCGGCUUAUCACCACAGGGGUAGAAUGUCAAAGCAGUUGAAAAGUACUGAACAGGUAAUGGGGCGUCGUUUUCAAACACAUUCGUUCUAAGUCUCAUCUUUGAAGUCUGUCCAAAUCUGAACUGACAAGAAAUUACUUUCCUGGAUUUCAUGCAAGUUAUCUCUAAUAUAUUUAAUAAUCACCUCUUACUUGAGUUUGUAUCCAAAUUCAAAUGUUGCCAUGCAUGUUGGCUUCUCAUAACACAGUAACUGUCUUAAGUAUUUGUAAAUAUUGGGUCAUUGAAAUGUCUUUUGCAGGAUUGGCCUGUGACUAGCAGUGUUAAAAAUAAUACUAGCCAGGCCACUACCAAAUUUUUUAUAAGAAGGUAAUAAAAAUACUGUGAGUCAUUGUAGGAGAUACAAAAAAGUGUUGUGACUUUUUUAAAUACUAGCGGUUGCAUACUAUGAAGACAGUUUGAGAAGAAAUACAUUCAAAUGUAAACCUUCAGCAUAUUUAAAAGCCAAAGCAAUGACACCUUUUUUUUUUUUUUUUUUCUUGCUUUUUUUUCCCCUUAAUGGCUGGCCCCUGAGGUCUCUGGAAGUUCCUGGGCCAGGAAUUGAAUCUGAGCUGAAGCUGGGACCUAUGCAUGUACCUGUGGCCACACUGGAUCCUUUAAGCCACUGUGCCCGGCAGGUGAUUGAAGCUGUGACUCUGCAGCGACCUGAGGCACUGCAGUGUGAUCCUUAAUCCACUGUGCCACAGCAGCAACCCCACAAUGGCACCUUUUGGGAAAUUAGAGACUUUCAUUUCAAAUACACUUUCUUCUGAUAAAUCAAAACAUGAAGGCCUUUAGACUCGUAUAUCUCUAUUCAAUUGAUAAAUUGAAUAGGACAUCUAUAAUUUUAAUUAAUCAUAACGCCCCUGGGAACACUUUUGACAGUCUCAAACUGCCUGUUGAAACCACAGUUAUCUGAAGAGAUCUGAUGAGAAGUGACCUACACAUUCCAGUGAUGAUGUCUGUCUGAAAUAGGAUGUAAGAGACUAGUGUGAAUAUUUCUAUGUCAGAAAACAGGAUGACCUAGAUCAAGUAGAUCUAUUUCUACAAAGACACAGCCUUCAGAGACUGAAUCUUGCAUAAGUGGACAGUCUGAAGAGACCAGUAAUGAGUGAGGAAAGAAAGAAUUCAAGUCAGUCUUCCAAGUUUCCCUGCAGAGAAAAGUCCCAGCCAAGGACCAGAUGACUUCCAAGGUGAAUUUUUUCCAACAUUUACAACAGAAUGAGCACUCAUCAUUCUCAGACUCUCCCCAUAAAUAUAAAAGGCAGAUACCCAAAAAAUCAUUUUAGGAGGCCACCAUGAUCCUACUAUCAGAGCCACACAGAGACAUGAGAAGAAAACUAUGUGCCCAUCCGCUUGAUGAGUCAGUGCAAACAUCAUCAGCAACAUACUAGCAAACCCAAUGCAACAUCACCUGCAAAGAGUCACAUACUGUAAUGGAGUGGAAUUUAUUCCUGGAAUAAAAUGAUGUCUUUUUCUUAUAUUUCAUUUUUCAUUGCAAAAUAACACAUAGGCCCAAUGGAAAGAUAAACAAAGGGUUUUGGAAUACUUUUAUACAUUUGAAGUUCGAAGCUCAGCCUGAUCAGAGAAUGGACUAAAGAGCUAACUCAUUAUUGCCUACUCUAAAUUCUACCCUUAGGGGUAUGUGAACUCAUGCAUCCAGUAUGGGAGAUGGUAGGGAACACAUCAGGUUAGGACUCGAGGGACAGCUAGGAACGAUGCAGUCUUAAGUAGAGACGUGGAUGGUGGUGGCCGUAGGGCUUCUUUCCUCCCCACUUCUCCUGCUCCAGCCACACAUGGGCCCUCAGUUCCGCACCACAGCCGAGCUCCUCCAGCCCAGCAUCUGGGUCAUUCCUCUUCCCUUUGCCUGGAUGACCUUGUCCUGAUGCUUCAUGUGGCUGGCUCCCUCUUGUCUGUGGGGUUUCACUGUCACUGUCAGCUGUGAGAACAGCCUUUCCCUAGUUCCCUCUCUGAGCAGCCUCCCUGGCCCACCCGUGAGGCUCACCCGCAAUGCCCUUCUUCUUUCUGUGUCCUUCUCACCAUCUGAAAGGGUCUCUCUCACUUGUGCACUUGCUGACUGUCUGCCCUCCCCCGUAGCGUGUCAGCUCCAAGAGGACUAUUGGACUUGACUAUUUCAAAUAGUCUGAUAACUGUCCGUGGAAAAAGGCAGCUCCUUGACUUUAUUCUUUCCUGUGUGUGGAUAGAAAGGAAUUUCUGGUUAUCCAUCCUGAUGCAGCGUGCAUCUCUGUGCAUGCCCUUGUCUGAGCUGGCCUCUGGAGGUUUUGUUCAGGAAUGCCUCCGAAGCAGAAAUCUUGGCUCCAUGAGGGAGCAUGAGUGUGUUUCAGGCCCCUCCAUCCACAUGGCCACAAUGUAUUCCAGAAAGUCCAAGUGAAGACCCACCAGCAGGGCCACCACCCCUAACAUACAGGCUGAGAGACAGGGAGUCUGGAGACCAGCAGAGCCUAUGAAACCCCUGGGGAUCUGGACACGAUGCAGAUUGUGCUGCAGGGGUCAGGACUGGGGCCUGAGAUGCUGCCUUGCUCACAAGCUCCCCGGAGAAUUCCCCCAGAGGCUCCAUCCUGCCUGCUCUCUCCUGUCAGUGUCUGGGCUCCACAGGGAUCAGCCCCUGUGUCCCUGAGCCUCUGCCCUGCCCGCUGCCUCCCAGGCCAGCUACCCCAGCAGGAAAGCUUGUGCUUGUGUCUGCUCUGCUGGCCUCAGGCCCUGUCUCCAUGUGGCUCUCAGCCCAGGCUCCAGAAUCCCUGAUGCCUGUGUGGUUCUCGGGGUUCUGGGUGGGGUUUUCCACUCGGUGUGGAGGAAGCGGUCCCUUCAGUUCCCAGGAUGUUCCAAGGCCCUGGGUGAGCUAGUGGACAUCG
rnacentral:lncRNA from 9 species